rnacentral:rRNA from 1 species
AUGUAUUUGCGCUGUGCAAUACAGGAUUCUCCAACCAAAUGGGCAGCAUGGCUACCUCAGGCAGAGUUUUGGUAUAACUCUACAUACCACUCGUCCCUGGGCUGCACUCCAUACAAAGCACUGUAUGGGCAAGAUCCAAAUGUUGGACAGUUAGCAGGUCAGUCUACUUCUCUGCACCCGGAUGUUCAAACUUGGUUGGCCUCUCAGUCAGAGCAUACAACACUGUUGAAGGAUCAUCUCGCUCGAGCACAGUGCAAGUACAAGCACUUCGCGGAUAAGAAACGAUCUGAUCACUAGUUUGCCGAAGGAGAAAUGGUAUACCUGCGCUUACAGCCAUAUGCUCAGUCUUCUGUGGUCAACCGUCCUUGCCCAAAGCUAGCUCUCAAAUACUUUGGCCCGUUCAAGGUGUUGGAAAAAGUGGGAAAUGCAGCAUACAAACUGGAGUUACCCCGUGGCAGUAUGGUCCACCCGGUGUUUCAUGUGUCUCAACUCAAGGGCCAUGUGUCGGAUCAUACUCCGGUGUUUACUACUCUUCCGGUUCCACUCGAUCUAUCACACCUGGUGUGAUACCUGAGGAGAUUCUGGAUCGCCGACUGGUCAAAAAGGGCAAUGCAUCUUAUCUUCAGAUACUGGUCAAGUGGUCGUCGAUCCCUGCGGCAUCAGCAACCUGGGAAGAUUACCAAGUACUCAAGGAGCGCUACCCAGAUGCACUAG